GACGAACGCUGGCGGCGUGCUUAACACAUGCAAGUCGAACGGCAGCAUAAUUUGUAGCAAUACAAAUGGAUGGCGAGUGGCGGACGGGUGAGUAACACGUAGGAAUCUGCCCUAAAGAGGGGGAGUAACCCGACGGAAACGUACGGGCGUAAUACCGCAUAAUCUCUGAGGAGAAAGACUGGGGUAACCGUGGCGCUUUAGGUAGGAGCCUGCGUCUGAUUAGCUAGUUGGUGGGGUAAAGGCCACCAAGGCGACGAUCAGUAGCUGGUCUGAGAGGAUGAUCAGCCACACUGGGACUGAGACACGGCCCAGACUCCUACGGGAGGCAGCAGUGGGGAAUAUUGGACAAUGGGGGCAACCCUGAUCCAGCAAUACCGCGUGUGUGAAGAAGGCCUGG
rnacentral:rRNA from 1 species